AAAUAAAUAAAUAAAUUAUUUCUGAGAUAGGUACAACUUUGGAGAUAACUUUGGGGAUAAACAGGAAUGGAUCAAUUUUAUGUUUGGAUAAAAAUUAGAUUAUUUUCGAGAAUAAAGAAAAUAGCAUUUGGAUAAUUAGAUAAAAACAAUAGGAAUAAGAGUAAUUAUAGUUUUAAAAUAAUAAUAUUUUAUAUAAAUAAUAUAUUAACAUCAAAAUAUUAAUUAAAUAAUAAUUUAACAAAUUAAUUAAUCAACUAUAUAAUCAUAAAUAUUAAAAAAUAAAUUAAUUAGGACAUUAAUUAAUUAGCUAUGAGUAUUGUUAAUUAAUAUAUUAACUAACCAUAAAUAAUUUGAUAAAUUAUAAUAAAUUAAUAUAUUAAUAUAAUAAAUUAAUUAGUUAAUUAUUUAAUUAGUUAUAUUGGUCAAAAUAUUAAUUGAUUAAUUUUUUAAUUAGAUAAUUAAUUAUUAUGAAUAAUAAGUUAAUUUACUAAAUAGUUAAUUAAAUAUUUAUUAUAGUAAUAAAUCAAGUUGGCUAAUUAUUAAUCUAGCUAAUAGGUUAAUAAAAUAAUAUAUAAUAAAUUAAUUAGUAAUAUUUUAUUAUUAAAUUAAUAGAGGUAUAAAGAGAAGGAAUUGUUAUUCCACUAAAAGGAUGGAAUAAUA
rnacentral:lncRNA from 1 species